ACGGCCGCUGCGCCAUCCCGCAUCACCCCUAGCCCUAGCCAACUGCCCUACACCGAGAAAACCGCUCUCACCAAGCCGUCGCUCUGCUGUCGCCCAUGUGCGUGCGUCCCGUCGCCCCCAUUCGCGCCCAAUGGAUAAAACGGAGCCUCCUGCCACAGCUAGAGCUAGAACGCACAGACUUUAGGCUUUAGGUACGAUGAUGGAGCCAGGAAACCUUAAUUGAGAAGGAAAUCAAGCUUUAUCCCGUCAUCCACCUCAUUGUUCUUACCCAAUCGCCAUUAGGGCUCUAGCUCGUCCAGGCAUGUGUUGGCAAUCUUAUCCCCAACGUUUCCUUACACGCUAAGCUAAGCCCCCAACAAAAUCCCCAUCCCUCUCUGCCUUUUCCUCCAAUACAUUUCGUCGAACACCUUGGGCGCGUGCUGCAGCUUCUUCCCUGCUCCACCACCGCGACAUCGAACUUCGUCGUUCCUCCUUCCCUCGGUAAUUCCUCGCUCCUGUGACUCCUCCUAGUCCCCUAGGGAUUAAAUCCCCCAUCAAUUUCGUUGAUUAGGUCCAUAGCAGUGCCAAGCCGAGCUCCAAAGCUCCACCCAUGGAGGUCACCGUGGACAUGCUAUCCCGGGGGCUCUCCCUUCUAUUUUACUGGAAAAACGGAACCCUCAUGCGCCAUAGAUGCUCACUCUCUCACCAAUUUGGUCGCAAACCAUCCCGUUCGCCGUAGCUGCUUGCAGCCGAGCUUGGCCAUGGCGUUGCCGUGCCGCAACGCUCGCCCCUGCCCCUCCUUGCACCGCCGCUGCCGGUGGAGGGCCGCUAGAGCUCCUCCGCAAACCCCCUGUCCACCGCCGUGCCGGCCUCGCGCCGUACCGGCUGCGCUCGGCCGAGCCCAGCCGUGCCCUGGGUGCUGCCUCCCGUUCGGCUGGAGGUAGAAGAAGGGUAGGAGAGAGAAACAGAAAGAGAGCAGCCGGACCCACUUGUCAUUAGCUCCAUCCUAUUUCCCUUUAGAAAAUUAAUCCUGUGAAAAAGAAAAUCAAAGCAUUGACCCCAUAUGUCAUCAGCUGUUAGGGAUAAGGAUAUAUUUUGGAAUAAACAUAAAUGAAUUAGGAACAGUAGCUUUUCGUAAUUUCUCGGAUUAAUUCGAAAUUGAAUCUUUAAACUAGUAUAACUUGCUCAUUUUAACUCGGAUUUGAGUGAAACUUGAACCUAAAUUCAUAUAAAUUCAUAAUCUUUCCAAUGGUAUAUAAUUCACUAAUUAAUAAAAUAUAUUUAUAAUUAUAAAAUAAUUAAUACCAAGAAAUUAGAUACUAGUUAACUUAAAAAUGUGCUAACAAAUAAAACUAAUAUUUUACAGUAAAGUAGAUGUAAGAAUAUUUGUCUCCAACAUGUCUUGUCACUGUAACAAAUACACAAACUAAUUUAAAUGAUGUCUCAUAUUAAUGUAUAUAUUAAUGUAUAGGAAGAUAGUACUAUUUAAUGGUUGUAUAAUUAAACCCAUGACUUACGAAUUAUUUACAUAAAUUUUAGCCUCAUAUUUAGUAACUAAAAUAUAAACACAUAAAGAUGAAUCAUUAACUUGUUUAGGAGAAUAAUAACAGAGCUAGAUGUGAAGGAAUCACCAAAUAAUUUAAUCAAUGCAAUACCAUAUAGAAUAGCAUGUAUAGACCUAAAUUGGUUACCACUUAUUAGUAACCCAACAGAACCAGUGCUUAAACUUGCCCCAUCACAUAUAUAAUAUCACUCAUAGAAACUAGCUAAUGUAUAAUUUAACUACAAUAUAUUCAGGAAUCACUUGGGGCAUUGGGUAGUACACUUUCUAAAUGGCUCAUGUACAGUAGGCGACCAAAACCAUAUAUGUUGUUGCACACACAUAUAAUGUACAUUCCAUUAUAACUAUACUAUUGAUUUACCUUUUCCAUACAUUAAACUGGGGAGUAUAUGACAAACAUGUAUAUUAGAUAAACACUAAUUAUAAAUUUCGACCUCCUGUAAUUGAUCGUUACGGGACCACAACUACAAAUAAUCUGUACCUAUAACCUCACAGAUCUAACAUACAAAGCAUGGAUAAUUAUUAACCCUUUUAUAAUUUAUAAUGACAAGUAAAAUAUGAUCAUAAUUAAAAUAAUGCCUCAUUGGAAAAAUGAUAAUAUAAAUUAAUCGAUGUAAUUAUUUGUUUGACCCUAAAUCCAUCCAACAACAGAACCUUUAGUAUAAGACCAUUUAUAGAUGUAUGCGUAGUCGUAUAACCCUCCCAUAACCCUGUAGCUUGACUAAACCACAUAUUAGCUGUAUGUACCUCAUUCAUAUUAUACUGGUUAGCUCCCAAAUGAACUGCCAUGACAAUAGAAUGAUUAAGAAAUCUUAGCCCUAGCAUGAUUGGAAUCCAUUAGCAAGCACGAAUAAUAUGAACAACCCUAGGUUCGACACCAUCAUUAUAUUUUGCUUGUGCACAUUUGAUUGUUGUUUGAAUAUUGGUUUUUAUCGCGUAUUACAGAAUUUGUAUAUCGGUUAGUCGUGAGGCAACGUAUGCAGCUUCCAGGAGGUGAAGGUUGAUCAAGAUUAUAUCAAGAAUAAGAAUUAUCCUGAGCAGGCAAGUCAUCACCCCAUCCCUUGAGCAUGUUGGUCCUAAUUGUGAAACUGUUUUGUUUACAAAUAAAAUUGCAUGCAGUGAUGCAUAUCCUACUUAUUAUUAUGCCAUGCCUUUGAUUAUUGCUUAUCUCAUUAUUCCCUUGGACCCAUAAUUACGUAUGAGUCCCUAGUCACUUAUGACAAAUGCUUAGUAAUGCUAAUUUAGGUUCAUGCAUUCUCAUAUUUAUCAAAUGCUUUAUGCUUAGGCAACUACCUUGGGGAAGGUAGUUGAGACAUGAGCGCCACAUUGCCAUGACAUUGAUGAGAUAAUUUGUGAAAGAAAGUUAAAACUAAAGAAAUGUUUUCGACUGGGAUGGCUGGAGGACUUAGGUGGUGUCCGGUAAAGGCUAGUGCUGUCCCUGGUCAGUUAAGGACCGAGCCAUGAAGUUAAGCAUGAAACGACCCCCGUACAACCGUACUUCUCGUGUGGGUAUAGACCUAGCGGAGUAAAUAGCCGAGCGGAGGUGGUACCCAAGCCGUAGUGGUUUUCUUGUUGUGUGUGAGGUAGGGCCUACGGUGGGGCAGCCAUUGGUAGGACCGCAUGGGGCGGGUGCCUACAGUGGUGUCGCCAUCGGUAGGACUGCCAUGUGCAAACCUAAACUUAACUAUAACUUAAUGAAUGUGUGAGUCUUUCCCCCUCGGGAGCACCAGAACUCCUCUCACUGCUAGAAACCUUGGACACCUAGAGUGCAUGAGGACUAAAGUUCAUGGAGCGGGUACUGCCAAUGUGAGGUUAUUGAAAGGCUUUGCCGUGGCAAGUCUCAUUCGUUGAGAUGUAGGCUCAUGUGUUGGGCAAGUCGCGGAGUACGGGUAAAGUGUACAUCCACUGCAGUGUGAGUAAACCAAAUCUAUUCAAAUAGCUGUGCUCACGGAUAUUGAGCACCGUGACAUGUAUUACACUUGGCUAGACUCUGAAUUCUUGAAAUGAUGGGUGGGAUGUUGCAUGAUGAUUUUGUACUGGUGGAACAACUUCUCGAGAGGCGAGAAGGGGUAGACCCCAGAAAACCAUGACGACCAGUGGCGGGAAGCUAUCCUUGGGAACACAAUGGAUGGUGGAUAGAACCGUCGCUGUUUAAUGAACAAUGGAACUAAAACUUGAACAGUUUAUGCUAGGUCUUAGGUUUGUGAAAUGAUAUUUGAAAACUCAGCUUUACGCAAAGUAACCAUAGCCACUCUUUGUAAUACCCUUACAUUACUGCAUUUUGUGUGGUGGCUUGCUGAGUACUUUUGUACUCAUUGUUGCUCUAUAUAUAUCUUUUAGCAGAGUGUUGAAGAGAAGCCCUUGUUAGUAUGCUUGCGUACCUAGCAAGAUGAUCGGAGUGCGGUUCCAUUCUAGGUCUCGUUCCCCAGUCGACUGCUUGUGGCAUGUCAACUGUCACGUCCUGAUAAAUUCAUCCCGAAAUAAAAAUCAUUUUCUAAAAGGAAUAAUAGAAUUAAUUAAAAUUCGAAAAGAAAUUGGCAAACACUAAAAUGCGUACAAGAAAAAUUUGAAUGUGGCCCGGAGAAUUUUUGUUAAAUUCUCCUUGGUCUAAAAGGAGCCCUCAAAUUUUACUUGAAUUUUCAGAGCAUCGGAAAUAAUUAUUAAGCAACAAAAACAAUUAUCAGAGUUUAUUAAAAAGAAAAAGCUAAAAAUAAUCCUCCUUUUCUUUUGGGCCAAGUUUGGCCCAAAGUUCCCCCCCUCUCUCUCUCCCGGCCCGCGGCCAAAGUCUCCCUCUCCUCCCUCUCUUUUUCCUUCCCUCUCUCUCUUGGGCCAGCCCGGCCCAUCUCCCUCCCCUCUCCCUCCUCUCCCCGCGGCCCACUCGGCCUCUCCCCGCGCGCGCGCGCGCUGACGGGCGGGCCCACCCGCCACCCUCGCUGACGGGUGGGGCCCACCUGUCAUCCCUGUCCUCCCGCCGCUCCCGCCGCCUCGCCCGUGCCCUAACGCCGCCGCCGCCGCGAAUCCCGCCGCCUCCCGCCGUCCACACGCGCAAUAAAGUGGGGGGAAAUAUUCCCCGUGAUUCCCUCCCUCUUUCCCCCCAUUUUUCCCUCCCUCUCUCCCUCGGAUUCGUUUGGAAACCUCUCCCCUAACCUCGCCGGCGCCAUCAAUGGCGGCCGGAUCUUCCGCGCCCGUUUCCUCCUCGUCCGGCCGCUCUCUCCCCCUUCCAACCCUAUAUAAACCCUCCCCGCACCUCCUCCGUUCGUUUCCGCCUCUCGCCGCUCUCUCUCCCCGCCGGAAUCGAGCUCGCGCCGUCGCUCUCUCUCUCCGCCGUCGCCGCCGAGCUCCGGUCCGCCGCCGUUGCCGCCGAGCUCCGGUCCGCCGCCGUCGUCGCCCCGGACCACCUUCCCCCUCGGCGCCGCCUCCUUCGGCUUCGCCGCGUCCUCGGUGACCUCGUCCACCCCUCCGUUUCACUCGCCGACCGCCGGAACGCCGCCGUCCCCGUCGACCCGAGCCGCGCCGCCGCCUUCCUCCGCUCCGGCUGCCUUUCCGUCGUCGCCGUCGACCUAGGGUGAGCCGUGGACCGCCGCUUCUUUUCCCCCUUCCCUCCCCCUCUCUCGGCAGCCGCUCCGCCGUGCCUAUGGCCGCCGCCGGCGACCAUAGGGGCGUGGGCGCGCCGCCUCCUGCCGCUGCGCCGGCGUGGUCGCCUUCGGGCGCACCGAGCGGCUGCCGCGUGGGGCCCGGCUAUCAGCCGCCCGCGCCCUUAGGUGCGGCUGACGCGUGGGACCCACGGUGCCGGCCGGUGUGAGCCCGGGUGCGCCCGGUCCACCGUGGGCCGUGGGGCUGCCGCGUGGGCCCCACCCCCGUGGACCCGGUCCGCGCGCCCCUCCCCUCGGCUGACGCAAUAAAUCCAUUUUUUUAAAUUAAAAUUUAAAUGAAGAAAUUCGCAAAUAUUCAUUUAAAUAGCAUAUAACCUUCAAAUGGCCAUAACUUGGCCAUUUGAACUCGGAAUUGGACCGUUCAAGUCUCUAAUUUUUCCUUAAGAAGUCAAGAACCCAUUUUUGUGCUUUGUUCCUGCUUGUUAUAUGGAGUUUAUUAGAGUAAAGCCUUUUCUUUUCCGUUGGUCGUGUAGACGCUGCAGCUUCGGAAGAUCCACUCUUCGUGGAGGUUGAAGCCGACGUUUGGGAAAGCGAGCAAGGCAAGUCACAUCAUCCUUGAACAUAUUGAAUCCUAGUUUAUAAAAUUAUUUUGAUUUAAAUUAUUGCAUUAUCGCUUUAUUUAAAUUCCCGCGUUAUCACUGUUUUAUUUAGCCAUGCCUAUUUACCUUUGUUAUGACCUUGUUAUUAUUGCUAUUGUUAUUAUUACCUUGUUAUUAUUACCUUGUUCACCCUAGGAUAAACAAAACCCCAACUAGUGGGUACCCUAUUCAUGGUUCCACUAGUAUGAAUUUACGUAGAUGCUUCGCUGAUUAAUAGGACAACAUUAGGUGGUUUUUAUAGCUUUAGACUUUGGGAAUUCUCACAUCAUUUGGACACUAUGGAAUGGUUGGCUUAUGGUGGAAUUGGACAUACCCCUCUCUUCCUCUUUCAAAACCCCUAAAACCUGUUUUCCGGUGGGGUUUGGGUGCAUGCCAGUUGUGGGAAGUAGCACCCCGGCCAAUAUAAGGAUUAAGCUCGGGCCUCUGUUGCAAAGCACUACCGUACUUCCACAUGUCUAGUGGGUAAGGCUUAGUUUGUGGCUCAGUCUGGUUAUAAACAAAAGUACACGGAUGGAGAUGGACGAAGUCGGGGGUCGAUGGACAUCUCUAGGACAAAUGAAGGCUACACGAGCUGCGGCCCGGUAGUCGAGAUGUCAUGGCACAGGGCCGGUGUCCUGCUGCUAGGGGCUCAAUCCUGCCUACCUGUCCCGGAGGUUCCGGCCGUAGGUGGGGUUGGGUCGGUACUCUUGUCUAUGGCUAGGAUGGGUUGGAAACUAUGUCACGUCUUCCGUCCGUAUACCGUGGUGGUAUGUGGCACGUGGUUACACGUGAGGAAGAUGUGUCUUGUGGGUAAAGAUGUACACCUCUGAUCAGAGUAUAAUCUAUUCGAAUAGCCGCGCCCUCGGUUAUGGGCAAGCCGAGCAAUGUACCCAAGUCAGUGUUUUAAUUCUUAAAAUUUGCUUAACAACUAAAAUGUGGAAUGGUUGGCCUGGGUUGGCUUGGGACGAGCUGGGACCCAGGGUCGGGUUGCCAGUUCGGUCUGAAUCAUCGUAGGCCUUGGGUUAAGGCAGGUUCGUGAGGGUUCACGGCCUUGAUUAAUAACACUGUGUAACUCUAGGAUCGUCUUAUAAAAUGGCUUUGGGCAACUAAGUGACUUUUAAAUGCUGUUUUCUGCAAAGCUUAACCCCUAUAUUAUUACCCCUUGUACCCCCUUGCAUUAAUCAUGCAUCUGCCGGUGUGGCUUGCUGAGUACUGUGGUUGUACUCAUUCUUGCUCAAUCUUUUCCCCCCCCUUCAGUAAGAGAAGCUUGGGAGAAGAAGUCUUAGGUGGAGUCCUGGCUUAUACCCCAGUUGAGCGCCUGUGAAGAUGGAGCCGUAGGCCCGCAAGUCCGCUGCUGUUUAUUUUUGUUUGUCAGGCCUGAGGUGCCUUUGUAAUAAUGUAAAUAUUAUCGAUAUAAUAAAGAUGUGUCUUUUAUAUCA
rnacentral:lncRNA from 1 species